rnacentral:lncRNA from 1 species
AAGAGCUAUUUAUUAACCAGAGAGGGCUAUUUAUGUGUCUUGAGCUAGGAGUAAGUGCCUGGAUUUAAGGGGAGGAAAAAUCAAAUCUUCCAAGGUUAAAAUUAGCUGUUAGAUUGCAAGGACAAAACCACCUGAGGUUUCAGCCCUGCUGCUUUUAAUGGGCAAAUGAGAUAUUUCAUGUGCAAUUGCCUAAGUGACUAUUGAAACAGAUGCCAUGUUCCAACAGCACCUUCGGCAGAAAAAGUGACAUCUCAGCAGGGAAAGUAAAGCAGUAUGGCUGGUGAAAUUGCAGAAGAGAACAAUGGAUUCCUUCCAUGAUGCAAUGGAACACUUACAAUGAAACUACAACCCAUUGAAUUUGAUUGCUUUGGCCACUCUCACUCUUUGUUGCUGGCUCCUUGCCUAGCUUCUGGAAUACACAGCCCUGCUUGUAUAUGUGCCAAGUUCACUGUCACAGACCAGUGGAACUCACCAGUAUCGUCCACACAAUGUGAAAGUCUGUAUCCUCUGCUAGGUAAGUGGUGCCUGAAGAGGGCCUAAUAUGGAAAGAGAGGACCACAAAAUCAAAGUGAGAGUUAAAGGAGCUCGGUUUUAUCAAAUGGGUAUUAAAAGCCAACAAACAUGGUAAAUACCUUAUUUCUCCCCCUGCUCCUCCCCCCAAAAAAACCUAAAAGGAAAAGAUUUCACAUGAAGAAAAAGAGACCAACAAAAAUCUAAUGCUUCCCAAAAUUAUUGUUAUAGGAAGUUUAUAUUGAGAUGUGUCAGGACUCCCCCCACUUACCAUGCCUCGCUCCGGAUUUUUAAAAAAACAGCCAGUGGACACCCAAUGUGUGAGUGUCAGCUGCUCUCAGCCUGUUGACACCUGCUUCAGGCACUAUUGGUUCAAGCUGUCCACAGAUAUGUAAACUGACCCGGUUUUCUUAAUAGAGUUGAUUCUGACACCUAGAGUCAUCACUGCUAUUUCAUUAAUGAUCAUAUUUACAGAAUCAUCCAGCUAGUCUGUUUAUCCAUCACUUUGUGAAGAAAUGAGUAGUGGGGCAUGAGCAGCUGGGUACCUGCAAGGACUGAUGGAGAUAAAGGAGGAGUUCAAAAUUUAAAGGAACCUCUGCCCCUCACCUCUAGGGGGGAAGAAUGGUCACAACCUCCUGACAUCUGUUUGUGACACUCCCAGAUGUCAUGACCCUCCAGGCUGAAGACCCCUGUUCUAGAGGGGAAGCAAGUUUUAUUUAGAGAUGAAAUGUUGCUUUAUAUGAUGGUCAGUUUUGAAUGUGUGAAAGGGACAAUCACAAUAGCUUAUUUUCUAGAAUACAUACAGUUGCAUGAGAAAAAGUAGGUUUCUCCAGGAAUAAUCGUCACUGUUAUUACUAUUGCUACUGCAGUGGAGCUGGGAAUCAGGGACCUACUAUUUAA